AAGUACCGUAAAUCGUGAUUGGGACCAGUUAUAAAUUUCCCGCAAUUUUGCAAUUUCAGGAUGUGGAACCUAUAUAAAUUUGUUUUCAUCAAUUAAUCUCAUCUAACUUCGUUACUUAUAGGAUUAGGGGUACAGCAUAAUGGACGUGUUUCAGCCCCAUGGCAACGUGAGCCAAGCAGGAGAUGCACGCGGUUGUACGGAGCCGAUGAAAGGAAAUGAGGCCAUUGCUACUGAAGGCAUGGUUACAAAAAGGAGAUCCAAGCUGAAGGAUAAACUGGGAGAUGUUUGUGACACCAAACAGGAAGAAUUGUACAACAAAACUUUACAAGAAUCUGGCAUAGACAUAGCUGGUAUGGAGUGGGAAGAGAAAAAAGAGCUGGCGGAGGUGCUUCUGCUGUCUAAAGAUGAGCCCCAUGCCACUGGCCGAGCUGUAGAACACGGUGAAGAUCCUACAGAAGAUGUGGGAGGUCGGAAGUGUGGACCGGCACUGAUCAAGUCGGAUACACUAGCCUCUGAUAAGAGCAGUGUUAUCUUGGACGAUCACCCAGAUCAAAGAACUGCUACAAUAACGGCCAUGAGAAAGGUGCGGAAACGCCCGUUCGUACAGACUGCAGGUGGCGAUAAGAUCACUGUGUGUGUGGAUGUACAUGCGGGCGGAGACUGGCAAGAGGAACCCAUCAAGAAGGAGCGCAGGUUGAGGCAGUCGAGAAGGCAGAAGGAGAAUGUUAAGGAGCGAGUUCUGCCCGCGAGGAAGAAGAGGAUUAAAGCUGAAGUGGCCCGCACUAGAAGUGGUGACAUCUGCCAGGGAGAGACAGUGGAUGACAUCAUCAUGGAGAGGUCUUCUGGUGAACCAGCUGACAGUGAACAAGCAACGUCUACAGCCAUUCUGCAGGAGCCACACUCUGACUUGCACUCCGACGCCCAAACCUCAUCUAUCAGAACAGACAACUUGGGAGACCGGUCAUCCGUGGACCCAUCAACUGGUGAUGCUACAUCAUCGGCAACUGGGCACAGCGAUACUUUUGAACAGCGUGGUGUGGAGGUCGACAAGAAAGGGUCUGCUGUGUUCAGUUACAUUGACCUGGAUGAUGACGAGACACAGCCCCCAGAUUCUCCCGAUCUGUUCAGAGACAAGUCUGCUCAGGUUCCCAUUGUGUGUGUCCCAUCAAGCACAUCAUGUGAACAAGAUGAAGAUCCAUUUGAGAUGGAGAGUACCGACGAUGAAGCUGCUGUCACAGUGACGAGUCGUAAAGAUGAAGUCUUGGCGAAGUCUGAUCAAGAUGGUCGCUCGAGUCAUAAAGAUGAAACCUUGGGGAACUCUAAUCAUGAUGGUCACUCGAGUCUUAAAGAUGAAGUCUCACUGAAGUCUGGUCAAGAUGGUCGCUCAGGUCGCAAAAGUGAAAUCUGUGUAAAGUCUGGUACAGUUGAAAGUUUGGGUUGUAAAGAUGAAGUCUCGGUGAAGUUGGAUCAGGAUGGAAGCUUGAGUCGUAAAGAUGAAGUCUCUGUGGCAUCUGUUCAAGAUGAAUGCUUGGGAAGGAUGGAGACCGAUGAAUGUGUACCGUAUACUAGAAGUGACUCUGCACAACUUGCUGUCCACAUGACAUCCACAAGAGAACAUCCAGAAAAGAACACAACAAGCCAGGAGCCCAGCGUCACAGACCAGGCCAGCCAGGGCUUUGAUACGUCACAAGGUGAAGACAAAGAGAAUGAGGAGGAAUCACAGUCACCUACAUUCAAGAAAAAGCUACUGGGUAUGGAGAAGAUACAAGAAGUUCCAGAUAAGAAGUUAUUACGUAAAUACAGAAAAUACAAAGAAAAGAUGCGACUAUCUGCUCCAUUGUUCAGUCCAUCCCCACAGGAUCCUGUCAUGUAUGCUAAAGUGAUUCUUCAACUGUUUGACCUGUAUAUCCGCAAAGUCCGAUCAGCUCAGUCUGUGAUCGUGGGUCACGUGGAUUGGGGCACUCCCGUUCCUGUCGGCCGUCACAUGUCUCGCACUCUCGACAUCAAACGACGCGGACAACCCUCGUUUUCUUGGAGUGACGAUUCAGAGAGUCAGCCACAGGACGAUGUAGAGUCCCGGAAACAAUUUUCUCAGAAACAAGCCGACAUAGAAAAUGAUGACUUGGUUGAGUCGCUUCCUGAUAUUCCGUCCAUUGAGCCUGGGCCAGGCGAUUCUUACCUGAAUAGAGAACCAACAGAGUACGUUCCCUUGGAAGCUACUCUUCAGAGUGAGGAGAGAGUGUCGCAGACAUUGUGUGACGAAGAUGAUGAUUUCUACAAUGCUGACACUGAGGAGGCCUGUAAUAGUGUUGAUGGUGGAUUCAGAUCCUUGAGAAAUGCAGCUACGGCUACUGCGACUGUCACUACUGCUAAUGUUGAUAACAAUCUUGUAAUGAAUGCCAGUCAAAGCUCUAAUUCUCUUCUCAAUUCACAAGGGGAAAUCAAGCCGUAUCAGAAACAACCUUCACAGGAGGCAGAUUUGGCUGAAGUAGAUGAUGUGGUGGAUGUCGUCAGUGAUUCGGAGAGCAGCGAAUCUUCAAGUUCUAUGUCUGUGAAGAAAUGGACAACGUUGGGGAGGGUUCCAUCAAGAGAUUUGGUUAUGAAUGAGAAGAAGUCUGGGACCACACCUCGUGACAGAAACAGUGAGGUGGAGAUAGAGUGGAAGUUUGAUAGUCUGUCACAGCAGAUGAAGAAGGUGCUGUUUAAAACAAACAGCAAUCAAACAUCAUCACAGCGAAGUGGUGACGAUCCCACGAAGACCAUUGGUGACCAUGUUGAUAUUGGUGCAGAUCACGAUUCUUCAGAUGACGAUGUGUCUGGGAAAGGUAGUACAAAACGGCCGUCUGCACAGGCUACAAGAAGAAGCAAUCGUCCUGAUGAAUCACCUCAGAGAGUGGCUGAUUCAGGGAAUCGCGAUUCUUCAUCCUCGGAAUCAGAAUAUCCGGUGACAAAACGAAGCUGGAAGAAACUGUCGAGAAAGUCUUUCAUGGUGGAUAAUUCAGACAACAGCAUUCAUCUGCUUCAGACUGAACCUUUACCGCAAUCCACCGCCCCUUUCAAUACUGCUGGAAAUACUGCCCCUAAUACCUUGACUUCGUCUGUGAGUCCCCCUGCUGUGGUCCACAUAGAGGAUGAUGACCACGAAACAAAGAAUACACCAGAAGAGGCAGUGAGUCAUGUUGCUUGUCCAUUGUGUAAUGAGUUUUUCAACAGCAGUCAAAUUGAGCUGCAUGCGUCUGAGUGUGAUGGCCCAGUCAUCCAUCAAACACGCAAACGAAAACACCAGCAUAGUGGGCAGAUGAACGAUCUCGAUGAAGAUGGUGAAUUCAGGGACAUCCAUGCGGCAGUAGAUGUGCAUAGAAACCCAGGUGAAAGGUCGCACAGUGAAGACAAAAGAACGGAUGCACACACAAGUGCGGAGGAAAGAAGACGUCGGGAUGAUUGGACACGAGAUGACAUAGACAUGUCUGCAGUGAGGAAGAAAGCAGCACAGAUGAAACAGAGCAGGCCGAUGGAGGUGUGUAUGAUCUGCUCCGAAGACAUCCCUUCGGGACUGGAGUAUGAGCAGCACGUGGACCGGUGUAUUCAGGCAGCCAUCGAGAAGAACAAGGGCGGGGCCGGCGACGACGAGGACCGGAGACCCAGGCGGGCGAGGACCAAGGGAGGCCUGGUCAGUGAGCUGGAGUCGACAUGGGACCAGGGAGAUCGGACAGGUCAAUGGUGAUCACUUCACACAUCGUGAACUCAAAUAAUAAUACCAGGCCUCUGAGAUUUUAAACAUGCCAAUAGAAUGCAAGAUGGAAAAGAAAAUUCAGCAUUAUCAUCGAAGUCCAGGCAGUCUGAGGGGGUCCAUGCAUCAUCUGGCGAUGGAGACGCCAAGAAAGAACCCACCUGGUUGACUGCAG
rnacentral:misc_RNA from 1 species